UAACCUGAUCGCCGUGGAGGCGGGAUCUGCAGCUCCGGCGUGGAGCGGCGGCAGCACAAGCCAAUCGAGUGGCGAGGCUUCGGACGCCAGCCAAUGGUGGUGGUGGCGGCGGGGGGCAGGGUCCAAUGGGCGGCCUGCGCAGCGUGCUAGGGAGGCUCAGCCAUUUGGCUGUGGUGCCGGAGACGGACCCCUUUAGAUACCCGGGUGUCCGAGGAGAAGCGCGGCUGCAGCUUGGUGGCUGCGCGCGGGGGGCGGGAGGGAAGGCAGGGCAGGUGCGUGGACCUGAAGGUUCGUGGCCGGGGGCGGGGCCGCAGGUGCGUGGACGCGGGAGGGGCGGGGUCCUUGCGGGGACAUCCUCUGGGUACUUGGCGGGCGGACGAGGCCCGGGGCGCGCGGGCUCAGGGCAGGCCCAGAGAGGGCGCGCAUUCUGGGGGCGCCCGAAGGACAGAUCACACCCCAGGCUGCCCACUUGGCGCAUCCCUUCGGACUGGGUCUACUCCCAUUCCCGCAAUUAAAUAAGCAAAUCUAAGCGCAUGAUGUUCCCAUCUACCGAGGAGCGAGGGCGGGAUCUCGACCCAGAGGCUUGGCAUUCUGAUGCCCUGCCAGGACAGUCUUAACAGAAGCGAUUCCCCGAGAGCCACCGGAGAUCUUGUCUAGGGCAAUAAAUGAAUGAAAAGGCCGCGGGUGCAGAACUGUAUAGAAUAUUUAAAAAUGCGAAAGGAAGGUGCUAGUAAUUGCCGAUUCUCAGAGCCGAGCAUAAUUUACGGGCUUUAUAGGUUUUGUUGAGAGAGUGUUGCUCAUUUCAAUCCAAUUGUCCACUAAAGUCGUUUGGUUAGAUUUGAGUUGCCAAGGAGUCGCUAACUGGACCACUUAUCCAGGUCUUUCGGUUGCUUUGGGUUUUGUUUUUGUUUGACCACGUUACGUUUUUAAAGAGACCUUAAAAGCCUUGGUUCUCACUGGGUUACCGCUUCUUAUGGGCAACCCUGGGACCUGAUGCACUGCGUGGAUAUCUGUGGCUGUGGACAAAUGACGGGGAUGACUGUCAACAGGGACCCAUGUUUACCUUCAUCCACACAACUGUAUUGCAGUGUCCGUUUCCCUUCGUCUGCACUCUUCCGCAAACAGCCCAAGGUAGUUUUGUAUUUUUGGAUACACUGGAACUGAGCAUUUUGUUCAGCUCCUCCUGAGGAUCUGAAUUGUCUCAAGAGUUUGUAGGAGAAAUGGAGAUCACACCUUCGCUCUGUUUGCUCUGGUCCAAGUGAAAGUGCCCUGUCAGGAGCACAGCUCCCAUUCCGGCAGUCUGGAAUCCUCUGACUGUCAAAGGAGUCUCUUGGAACGCUCUAACGGGAACUCUCCUCAGAGCGGGCUGGCCUUGAACUCACAGAGCUAGUCCUGUCCUCCUGAGAAGUGAACCAUCCUCACCAGCUUGUUUGAAGGUCUCAGCACUUACACGUCCAUCCGUCUUGGAACUGCCAGUUUUUCUUUCUUCCCCCAA